UACACACGUUCGUGUGUGUGUGUAUAUAUAUAUAUACACACACACGAACACAUAUAUAUAUACACACACACACAGACAUAUAUA